GUUGAGGCCAUGCUGAGGGCUGUGAAUAUGACUAAAGAAAUGGCACGUGGCAGGUGUUUGCCGUGGAGUGGCUGACAGGCCUGCACCCUUGGUGUCGGGAAUUUAAUUUUGAAACGAGCACCAGCAUCAGAAUCCACUCGGAAGCACUGAUGGCCCCUUGUCUGAGUGCAGCUGCCGCUGUCACGGGGUGUCUGUAGUCAUCACAGGAUCCUGGGAAGGACAUCCGUGGUUUUAGAAGUUUAUCUGGAAUUAUGUACGUGGCUUCAUGCAGACACAUUAAGCUGUCCAAAAUACAAUGGCAUGAUCACUCAAGUUAAAAUGAUUGCAUUUUCCUGAGGUUGAGCCUAAAGAUCAGUGACAGGUGCUUUGAGGAGAUGGGCCUUCCUCCAUGUGCUGGCGCUUCUGAAAGGCAGGAGGAGACAGAGCUGAGAGGUCAAAGGACCAACGCUGACCUCACGAUGAGACAGACGGCACUGGAUGAUGUCAACACCGGUAGGACCGCCAGUGAAAGUCCACGCUCCUGAGGACAAGGCGCAGCUAGACUUAACCCAGGGACAGUCCUCGGGACCCUCCCAGGAGGAUUUCCUUUCUGACAGGCGCUCUGCACUCACCACCCACUGGAGCACUCCACCCAGGGGAGGCCGGGACUAAGCAAAGCCCUGCACUGCGGGAGUUCCCACUAAACUUUGUUGGGGGUAGGAAAGAGAACUUAAUGAUAUUAAAAUGAGUGAUAGGAAAGUACAGUUAUGAAGAAAUUUCACUGGGCUUAAUAGGUAUUACAUUUUCAGAACCAUUGGCUUUCCUUGUUUGAGGUGGGAGGGAGAAAAGGCAGUGAGAGGAAAUGGCAUGAGAGAGGGUAGGAGGAGGAGGGAGCAGCUAGGGUGGCUAUGCUGUCGUCAUGGACUCUGUGCACGGUGGGUGGGACGGCAGAUUGGUGCAGCCACCAUGGGAAAGAGUGUGGGGGUCCUCGGAAUGUUAAAAA